UUCCGUAGGGGAACCUGCGGAGGGAUCAUUACUGAGUUACCGCUCUAUAACCCUUUGUGAACAUACCUAACCGUUGCUUCGGCGGGCAGGGGAAGCCUCUCGCGGGCCUCCCCUCCCGGCGCCGGCCCCACCACGGGGACGGGGCGCCCGCCGGAGGAAACCAAACUCUAUUUACACGACGUCUCUUCUGAGUGGCACAAGCAAAUAAUUAAAACUUUUAACAACGGAUCUCUUGGUUCUGGCAUCGAUGAAGAACGCAGCGAAAUGCGAUAAGUAAUGUGAAUUGCAGAAUUCAGUGAAUCAUCGAAUCUUUGAACGCACAUUGCGCUCGCCAGCAUUCUGGCGAGCAUGCCUGUUCGAGCGUCAUUUCAACCCUCAAGCACCGCUUGGUUUUGGGGCCCCACGGCACACGUGGGCCCUUAAAGGUAGUGGCGGACCCUCCCGGAGCCUCCUUUGCGUAGUAACUAACGUCUCGCACUGGGAUUCGGAGGGACUCUUGCCGUAAAACCCCCCAAUUUUUUACAGGUUGACCUCGGAUCAGGUAGGAAUACCCGC
rnacentral:rRNA from 1 species